AUGGCGCCACCACGUCCCGUCCGGUGCAUUGCCCCAGCCCGGAUUUGCAUCCACAGCGGCCAGAUCCGCCUUCCAACCCCGACCUCCCUACCGGAACCUUCAUCUCGCAGCCGGCGGAGGCCCCGCCGACGGAAACGCCCCCGGUGGUUGGUCGUACAUCGCACCACCAACAACCUUGGCUUCCAGGGUCCCCCGUCUCCUUCCAUGGCGACCUCUGCUGUGUGGGACUUGGACCACCCCACCACCAGAUCCGUCCAGGGGAGGCAGAGGAGCUCCGGGCAGGGGUGCUCAAAGCCGCCACCAUCGGCCACACGCGGUCACCACCUCCGUGCAGGGGCAGAUCCCCCGGGUGCUCUUCCCCCCUAUCUUCACCAUCGUGGUACUCAAGCGCAAUAG
rnacentral:rRNA from 1 species